rnacentral:lncRNA from 1 species
UACCGGUACACGGGUUCUUGUACCGGUACAAGGCCGACGAAAUUGCAAACCCGAGGCUCGGGUCGCGCGGUCUGCGGCUCUGUACCGGUACAAGCCCGAUGGCUGUACCGGUACAACCAUCAACCCUUGUACCGGUACAAGGCCAGUCUCUUCCGGUACAAGCCCUGCUGCAGGCUACCCGAGAGCUGUCCAAAAAUCCCGAUUUUGGGAUUUUGGUGCCAAGUCUC